UGGGGAAUUUUGGACAAUGGGGGAAACCCUGAUCCAGCCAUCCCGCGUGUGCGAUGAAGGCCUUCGGGUUGUAAAGCACUUUUGGCAGGAAAGAAACGUCAUGGGUUAAUACCCCGUGAAACUGACGGUACCUGCAGAAUAAGCACCGGCUAACUACGUGCCAGCAGCCGCGGUAAUACGUAGGGUGCAAGCGUUAAUCGGAAUUACUGGGCGUAAAGCGUGCGCAGGCGGUUCGGAAAGAGAGAUGUGAAAUCCCGGAGCUCAACUUUGGAACUGCAUUUUUAACUACCGGGCUAGAGUGUGUCAGAGGGAGGUGGAAUUCCGCGUGUGGCAGUGAAAUGCGUAGAUAUGCGGAGGAACACCGAUGGCGAAGGCAGCCUCCUGGGAUAACACUGACGCUCAUGCACGAAAGCGUGGGGAGCAAACAGG
rnacentral:rRNA from 1 species